UACAGAGGGGGCAAGCGUUGUUCGGAAUGACUGGGCGUAAAGGGCGCGUAGGCGGCCCGCUAAGUCGAACGUGAAAUCCCUGGGCUCAACCCAGGAACUGCGUCCGAUACUGGCAGGCUUGAAUCCGGGAGAGGGAUGUGGAAUUCCAGGUGUAGCGGUGAAAUGCGUAGAUAUUGGGAGGAACACCAGUGGCGAAGGCGGCUCACUGGACCGGAACUGACGCUGAGGCGCGAAAGCCAGGGGAGCAAACGGG
rnacentral:rRNA from 1 species